UACGAAGGGAGCUAGCGUUGUUCGGAAUCACUGGGCGUAAAGCGUGCGUAGGCGGCUUCUCAAGUCAGGGGUGAAAUCCCACAGCUUAACUGUGGAACUGCCUUUGAAACUGAGAGGCUAGAAUGUGAGAGGGGAUGGCGGGAAUUCCUAAUGUAGAGGUGAAAUUCGUAAGAUAUUAGGAGGAACACCCGUGGCGAAAGCGGCCAAUCUGGAUCACAAUUGACGCUGAUGUACGAAAGCGUGGGAUAGCAAACGUAGG
rnacentral:rRNA from 1 species